AUGGAUGAAUGGAUGGAUGGAUGGAUGGACAGACGGACGAAACAAACGAAGCCCCGUGGGCCCCCAAGGGUCGAGGCACCUAAACUCGGCCUAGCCCCCAAACAACAGCCAAGGCUGGAGACCCCUCUGGUGGCCGGCAGCCCUCGGCCAGGCGAAGCCCAGCGCGUCUCCGUGGAGACAGCGGCAGGGCCCGCCCCCGCCCUCGGCUGCAGUCUAGGCCUCCUUAUCUGGCGGUGGAAUGCGCGGUAUCCGCACUCGCUCCCGCUGGGGCCGCGCCUCCUCUCUCGCGACAGCCACACGCGAGGAACCCCUACGUCUCCCGUGGGGGCUGGGGACGCCUCUGCGGCCCGCCAGGGGCUUCUCCGGGUAUUCCCGAAGGACUUAGCGGCGGGAGUGUGUGUGUAUGGGGGGGGGGGGGUGAUCCCAGCAGCAGCCGCACCGCCAAUACGAAACCCGCCGUCGCGCCACGCGGGGGGACCGUGGGCUCAGCGCGUGGCGCCCGGGGCAUCUGACUGCGGCAGAGUCGGGGAGGGCAUGGAAAUCCCCGGAUAUACCCUUGGCCCAUCCCUGGGACCCUGGAAUUGGAGGAGAGCAUAAGAUCCCCUUUAUUUACUCAACAAGGAGCCACCGAAGCACCUAUGUGUCAACGCAGCAAAUAAGUAUGAAGCGCCUACUCUGAGUUCCUUCCAACAAAUAAUCAAGUUCCUACCAUGUGCCACGCCCUGUCCCAAAGACAGGAUUCGUUUUUUGCCUUGAUAAGACCUCAGAAUUCAGAAAAGACCCCUACAAAACUGGGAGCACCCAAAAGUCUACCCUGCCUCUACUGAUGGAUGACUGUCCCGCCCUUGCUGCAGUCAACCAGACAAGAAGGCCCAGUUUUAUCCUGCCUUCCAACCUGGGGCCCCAUCUUCUCUACAAUUCUUUGGUUUCCCUCUCUUUUCUUCAUUCAGCUUCUCCUAGGCAUCUCUGUGUGCCUAGCUGCUAGGAUGGAAGGACACCUUCAUUUACUGAUGCACAUACAUGUGUGUGUGGUGAGAAAUUUGUGGCUGGACAACAUGAUAGGAGAACCUUUCAUUCCUUCAACAAAUAUUUUUGGUAUACCUACUGGGCACAGCAGGGAACCAAAUUGGAAAAAAAGUUCUCACCCAUGGAGCUUAUGUUCAGGUGCAAGAGACAGCCUUUUAGGAGGGUACUAUUUGUGAAAAUGCAUACAUAACCUUCUUAUAUGUCUACCAGGUACAUUAAGCACCUACUAUGUGCCAGAGAGUAUCCUAAAAGGCUGGAGGUAGAUCCGGAACAAAACAGAAAAAACCCCUGUCCUUAUGGAGCUGUGGUUCUACCACAUGAGCUCAAAAUAUCCAGAAUAUUGCAGGAAGAAAAACUAGUGAAUUCCCUAGGAGAUGAAGUCAAAGAAACAAGGCAUGGGAGGGAGGCCGCUUUCAUUCUAGGCACACUCUCCUGCCCCGUGAUUUUUGUAACAUGUGCAUGUGUGUCCUAUACCAAUAAUAAAUUAAAUAAAAAAUUAACUGCUGGAGGGGAG
rnacentral:lncRNA from 12 species